GUACCCCAUUGUGCUGAGCACCAUGUGAACAUCUCCUCUAACUCCUGAUUUGAAGCUGUUCCAGUGUCUUAACGCACAGGGAGUUUUCUACUAUCUCCUCUCAGCAUUCCUGUGCUUGAAAUCAGGACUCAUGUAUGGCCAUAUAAAGAGAUUGCAAUGUUUUAGUCCAAAUACAGAAAAUCCAGCUCUUGGUCCUGCAUCCUGCAUACAACUGUGCCACAGAGGAUGCAGAAGGAUGCGUUGACUUCCUCAGCUAAUAAAGAGUGGGGCCAUAAACUCUGCUGCCUUUCCCCAGCAAGGCCGUUCCCUUUGGCUUCUUCACCUUUCAGAGAUAACCAUCCCUGAUGACUCCUUUGAGCGCUUCCCUCAGCUAAAGAGAAGCAAUGUCUGAUUGCCACCGUGCCAUCAAAUAUCUCCACAAUUAGCUGCAAGAGCUUUUGCUGUUUGGG